GACGAACGCUGGCGGCGUGCUUAACACAUGCAAGUCGAACGGAAAGGCCCUGCUUUUGUGGGGUGCUCGAGUGGCGAACGGGUGAGUAACACGUGAGUAACCUGCCCUUGACUUUGGGAUAACUUCAGGAAACUGGGGCUAAUACCGGAUAGGGGCUCCUGCUGCAUGGUGGGGGUUGGAAAGUUUCGGCGGUUGGGGAUGGACUCGCGGCUUAUCAGCUUGUUGGUGGGGUAGUGGCUUACCAAGGCUUUGACGGGUAGCCGGCCUGAGAGGGUGACCGGCCACAUUGGGACUGAGAUACGGCCCAGACUCCUACGGGAGGCAGCAGUGGGGAAUAUUGCACGAUGGGCGGAAGCCUGAUGCAGCAACGCCGCGUGCGGGAUGACGGCCUUCGGGUUGUAAACCGCUUUCGCCUGUGACGAAGCGUGAGUGACGGUAAUGGGUAAAGAAGCACCGGCUAACUACGUG
rnacentral:rRNA from 1 species